rnacentral:lncRNA from 1 species
AUGCCCAUUAUUCAUUUCGAACCAUUUUUCAAAUAAUUAAAUUCUUCUCAGCCAACCAACUAGCUGAAUAAAAACUUUCUGAUUCACAAAAUAUCUAAUCAACCUAGUGCAACCCUAUCAUACGUUCUACAUUUCACGGUCAUGAGUCACAUUCUAAAGUUAUGAAUCGUUGUUGAUAUUUUUGUACAUUUAUCCCUUUAUUGGCACAAAAUAUUAUUAUGUAUCAUUAUAAUCUGCCUUUCCAUUUUCCUUAUUUUUCCUAGUGUCUACAACUUUGCUACUGACGAAAAUGUUGCCUAGAACAUACUUUGCAAUAACUAUGAAUGAAAUUGACUUCCUCGUACAUUUACGAUUUUCAAGUUCAUUUACUGCUUUAACAUGAGCAAAGAGCAUAGACUUCUUGAUGGCCCCAAAGAAGGCAGACACCAUUUAUAUGCGGAG